rnacentral:rRNA from 1 species
GACGAACGCUGGCGGCGUGCUUAACACAUGCAAGUCGAACGAAGAGCGACGGAAGCUUGCUUCUAUCAAUCUUAGUGGCGAACGGGUGAGUAACGCGUAAUCAACCUGCCCUUCAGAGGGGGACAACAGUUGGAAACGACUGCUAAUACCGCAUACGAUCUAACCUCGGCAUCGAGGAUAGAUGAAAGGUGGCCUCUACAUGUAAGCUAUCACUGAAGGAGGGGAUUGCGUCUGAUUAGCUAGUUGGGGGGGUAACGGCCCACCAAGGCGAUGAUCAGUAGCCGGUCUGAGAGGAUGAACGGCCACAUUGGGACUGAGACACGGCCCAGAAUCCUACGGGAGGCAGCAGUGGGGAAUCUUCCGCAAUGGACGAAAGUCUGACGGAGCAACGCCGCGGGAGUGAUGACGGCCUUCGGGUUGUAAAGCUCUGUUAAUCGGGACGAAAGGCCUUCUUGCGAAUAGUGAGAAGGAUUGACGGUACCGGAAUAGAAAGCCACGGCUAACUACGUG